GACGAACGCUGGCGGCGUGCUUAACACAUGCAAGUCGAACGGUGAAGGGGUCUGCUUUUGUGGGCCCUGGAUGAGUGGCGAACGGGUGAGUAACACGUGAGUAACCUGCCCCCUUCUUCUGGAUAACCGCAUGAAAGUGUGGCUAAUACGGGAUAUUCUGGGUCUGUCGCAUGAUGGGUCUGGGAAAGAUUGCGCCUUUGGGUGUUUUUGGUGGGGGAUGGGCUCGCGGCCUAUCAGCUUGUUGGUGGGGUGAUGGCCUACCAAGGCGGUGACGGGUAGCCGACGUGGGAGGGUGGGCGGUCACAUUGGGACUGGGACACGGCCCAUACGCCUACGGGAGGGAGCAGUGGGGUAUAUUGCACAGUGGGCGCAAGCCUGAUGCAGCGACGCCGCGUGAGGGAUGGAGGCCUUCGGGUUGUAAACCUCUUUCGCCAGUGAAGCAGGCCUGCUGCUUGUGGGUGGGUUGACGGUAGCUGGAUAAGAAGCGCCGGCUAACUACGUG
rnacentral:rRNA from 1 species